rnacentral:lncRNA from 1 species
UCUACACACCUAGCUCUCAACAUUCCUCUCUAAAAUAUAUGACUCUGUUUACUAGUGUAAGGAUCAAAAGGAUCACAUGUGGCUUCCAUGAAAAGAAAGGUAUCUUAAAAUUGUUGUGCAUAAAAUAUACAAUUCAAAGGAAUUACAUAGAGUUAUAAAUAAUAAAAAUAAAAAGAUCAAUGGUCCAUAAGGCGAUGCAAUGAUAAACCACCAAAAAGUCCUGAGAUUCUUUCUAUGCUAGCCACGUAUGAAGAACUCCAAGCCAAACGCUAUUCCUUCGGUUGUAUUUUUCCUUGAAUCUAAAGGACAAAAAUAGGGCCUCACAGUUUGAGAGAAUCAUUCACUUUGUCUAGC